UAUACUUAACCAUUUUAAAGUAACUAAGUUACCAUCCAUACCACAUUAAAAACAAAAAACACUCUAAAGUCCCUAUACUUAACCAUUUUCAUGUGACUAAGUAUCAACACUAAACCACAUUCAUAACAAAAAAUCUUUUUUAAAGUCUUUACGCUUCACCAUUUUCAAGUGACUAAGUAUCAAAACCAAACCACAUUCAAAAUCAAAAAUUCCUCUUUAAAGUCUCUAUACUUAACCAUUUUCAAGUAACUUA
rnacentral:lncRNA from 1 species